GAUGAACGCUGGCGGCGUGCCUAAUACAUGCAAGUCGAGCGAACAGACGAGGAGCUUGCUCCUCUGACGUUAGCGGCGGACGGGUGAGUAACACGUGGAUAACCUACCUAUAAGACUGGGAUAACUUCGGGAGACCGGAGCUAAUACCGGAUAAUAUAUUGAACCGCAUGGUUCAAUAGUGGAAGACGGUUUUGCUGUCACUUAUAGAUGGAUCCGCGCCGCAUUAGCUAGUUGGUAAGGUAACGGCUUACCAAGGCAACGAUGCGUAGCCGACCUGAGAGGGUGAUCGGCCACACUGGAACUGAGACACGGUCCAGACUCCUACGGGAGGCAGCAGUAGGGAAUCUUCCGCAAUGGGCGAAAGCCUGACGGAGCAACGCCGCGUGAGUGAUGAAGGUCUUCGGAUCGUAAAACUCUGUUAUUAGGGAAGAACAAAUGUGUAAGUAACUAUGCACGUCUUGACGGUACCUAAUCAGAAAGCCACGGCUAACUACGUG
rnacentral:rRNA from 1 species